rnacentral:lncRNA from 1 species
AGAAACGAAAGGCUGAAGGUCACCAUGGCGAUAGGAUUCUUCUAUGCUCGCUUAGCUGGCUGGUCACUGUCUGCUACAGAGCUGCCGUGAGAGGCUGCACCACAUCUGGCCUCAGAGGAAAAAUUCUGCAGUCGGACCAGCUGUGUGGAGAGCGUGAGAAGAACCCACGUUUGAUUGAGUGACACCCCAAGAAAGCACAGGAACCGAGCUGGUCACCCGCAGCUACCCACCCACCCCCGGCUGGGGGCGGGGUUCCCCAGUGUGAAUGC